rnacentral:tRNA from 1 species
GCCUGGUUGGCUCAGUUGGUAGAGCAUGUGACUCUUGAUCUUGGGGUCAUGAGUUCCAACCCCACAUUGGGUG